GAAGCCUACGGAGGGAGAGUCCGUGUGAGUGAGGAAUAACCAGCCAGCAGGGACACUCCCUGGAGGCAGCGCAGCCAGGAAACACAGGAGUGGGAAUAGAGGCAGGACCCAGGCCGUGAGAGCUGACAAGCCAGCCCAAGGAUUUUCCUGGGCUGGGCAUCAGAACCUGGGGGCACACACCCUAGGCAAACAGCUCUUGGGGAUGUGAGGUGUGACCAGGAACAGCUGACAUUGUGUGGGACAUCUCAGGACCAUGGGGACACAUGCCAGCACCCAGCCCCUCAGUCUUAUGCCUCACUCCUGGAUUGGGGUGGGGGGUGGCUUUAGUCCAGCACUCAGCCCUGAUGUGCACAAAAGGGCACUUCGUAGGCAGAGAAAAGAGAGCUAUUGUGAGUAUAGAGUAGAAUAACCUCUCUCUCCUUAAGGGGUUCCAACUUGGCCCCCAAAGCCUCAGACAACCCCACAGGGCAGGGGCUCCAUCACUCCAUCUCCAGGCAGCCAGCCUUCCAACCAGAGCAGUGGGGACUCCCAGGAAAUAUUCUGUGAAGGCACUCCAGUCCCCAGACAGGAAGGCCCAGCCUGGAGCAAAGAGGUUAAGGGCCCAGAUGCCAGAUCCCAGAUGCCUGUGUUCAAAUCAUGGCUCUAUCACUUAUGAUCUUGGGCAGGUUACAUAACCUCUCUGUGCCUCCUGUUCAACUGUGAGAAUGACACUCCGUAGUUGUCUCUGAUAUUAACAACCACAAGGCUAUCACGGAGCUUAAAAUGAGUUCAUAUGUGUACAGGACAUAGAACAAUGCUGGAUACGUAUACACAUGUAUGUGCUAUCACUGUUGGGAAAAAUCAAACGAGGACGAAUCAAAGCCAGCCCCAGACUCUGCUUCCUACUCCAAGCCACUUCUGGGCACCUGGCCUCCACUUCCAGAGCCAACUGGCUAAUGCUGUUCAUCUGUUCACGUGUCUGUCUUGAUCGCCACAGUCUGCAGUCUCCAAAACAGAGCUCAGCACUAGUAGGUACUCGGAAUCCGACUUCCCCCCAGUCCACUGGAGUGCUCCGUGUGGGAAGUACACGAAGGCUCACCUCAGUGGCCAGGAAGCCCUGAGUGGCCCACCCUCUUCUGGCCAUAGUCUCCAAGUCUCCUCAAAUCAAACAGGCUCGUUGUAAACAAAGGCAAAACGUUACAGAACUACGUGAUUUAUGAAGCGAGAGGCUGGUAAUCAACUCCCCAAGGAGUAGAGUUUGGUAAUCCUCCGGUGUCCGCUUCCAGAUUUCUCUCCACGUCGCCGGAGAUCAGGUCUGGCCCGGCGGGCCCUCCCCCAGGGGCCGGGACCGGAACGCCAGGCCGGAAGGAACAGGGCCGGGCCCCGCCGCAGCAGUGCAGCCUCGGCCGUGCCCCCACGCCACCGUCCCGGGGGCGGCCGCGCUGCCCCGCGCCUGGCCCGGCUGGGCCGGGUGGGGCCCGGGGAAGCCGCUACGUCAGGAGGCGGACGGGAGGGAGCCCGCGCCGCCCCAGCCAGGCUUCCAUUACAUCACUCGGCGGCGCGGAGCCGCGCCGGGGUAAACACCGCUGCAAACCAUUGGCUACCUUGCGCCCCUUCCAACCAAUUACACGAUUGUAUGCAAAU